GACGAACGCUGGCGGCGUGCUUAACACAUGCAAGUCGAACGGAAAGGCCUGCUUUCCCUUGUGGAUUGCGGGUACUCGAGUGGCGAACGGGUGAGUAACACGUGAGUGAUCUGCCCCCAACUUGGGUAUAAGCCUGGGAAACUGGGUCUAAUUCCCGAUAGGACUGCAGGGUGGUGCCUGUGGUGGAAAACGAUUUUCUAGUGGUUGGGGAUGAGCUCGCGGCCUAUCAGCUUGUUGGUGGGGUAAUGGCCUACCAAGGCGGCGACGGGUAGCCGGCCUGAGAGGGUGGACGGCCACAUUGGGACUGAGAGACGGCCCAGACUCCUACGGGAGGCAGCAGGGGGGAAUAUUGCAAAAUGGGCGGAAGCCUGAUGCAGCGACGCCGCGUGGGGGAUGACGGCCUUCGGGUGGUAAACUCCUUUCGACCGCGAGGAAGCCACCUGGUUGGAAGGGUGGUGACGGUAGUGGUAGAAGAAGCACCGGCUAACUACGUG
rnacentral:rRNA from 1 species